rnacentral:rRNA from 1 species
GACGAACGCUGGCGGCGUGCUUAACACAUGCAAGUCGAACGGAAAGGCCCUGCUUUUGUGGGGUGCUCGAGUGGCGAACGGGUGAGUAACACGUGAGUAACCUGCCCUUGACUUUGGGAUAACUUCAGGAAACUGGGGCUAAUACCGGAUAGGAGCUCCUGCUGCAUGGUGGGGGUUGGAAAGUUUCGGCGGUUGGGGAUGUACUCGCGGCUUAUCAGCUUGUUGGUGGGGUAGUGGCUUACCAAGGCUUUGACGGGUAGCCGGCCUGAGAGGGUGACCGGCCACAUUGGGACUGGGAUACGGCCCAGACUCCAACGGGGGGAAGCAGUGGGGAAUAUUGCACAAGGGGCGGAAGCCUGAUGCAGCAACGCCGGGUGCGGGAGGACGGCCUUCGGGUGGUAAACCGAUUUCGCCUGUGACGAAGCGUGAGGGACGGUAAUGGGUAAAGAAACACCGGCUAACUACGU